AAACGCUGACGGCGCGCUAAUACAUGCAAGUCGAACGGUGUCUUCGGACAUAGUGGCGCACGGGUGCGUAACACGUAUGCAACCUACCUUACAUUGGGGGAUAGCCUUUCGAAAGGGAGAUUAAUACCGCAUAAGACAGUAGCUGGGCAUCCAGCAGCUGUUAAAGAUUUAUCGAUGUAAGCUGGGCAUGCGUCCAAUUAGCUAGUUGGUGAGGUAACGGCUCACCAAGGCAAUGAUUGGUAGGGGAACUGAGAGGUCAAUCCCCCACACUGGCACUGAGAUACGGGCCAGACUCCUACGGGAGGCAGCAGUAGGGAAUAUUGGGCAAUGGACGCAAGUCUGACCCAGCCAUGCCGCGUGCAGGAUGAAGGCGUUAUGCGUUGUAAACUGCUUUUAUACAGGAAGAAACGACUCUUGCGAGAGGCAUUGACGGUACUGUAUGAAUAAGCACCGGCUAACUCCGUGCCAGCAGCCGCGGUAAUACGGAGGGUGCAAGCGUUGUCCGGAUUUAUUGGGUUUAAAGGGUGCGCAGGUGGUUUAUUAAGUCAGUGGUGAAAGACGGUCGCUCAACGAUUGCAGUGCCAUUGAAACUGGUAGACUUGAGUAAGUAAGAGGUGGGCGGGAAUUGAUAGUGUAGCGGUUGCACAACAUUGCCAUAGAUUUACUCCAGAACCUCCAAUUUGCCGUAAGGCAGCUACACAUUUGGGCUUUUACUGACAACUCAUGCACGAAAGUUGUGGGUAUCAAACCAGGAUUAGAUACCUGCGUAAUCCACACCACUGGUUAAACCG
rnacentral:rRNA from 1 species